UAACCAUUCAGGCCGAAGUCCAAUCGGACGCGGAGGACCCAAUUUGUGGGGUGAAGUCGCAGCUUUUGCGGCAGGGACACUCUUUGAACCUAACCCGGCAGCUAACUUCGCAGGCUAACAAAGGGGAGAUAU
rnacentral:sRNA from 2 species